AACGCAUGGUGAAGCUUGAAGAUGAGGUGUCCGGCUGCUUUGGUUGUCGGGUACUUAAUGAUGUGAACUUCCCAUAACGGGCUUGUCUUUUGGUGGUCAGCAAGAAACAGAGACAAUGAUUAUGAAUUACCAUAAUGGAUGAAAAUCUUGGAUUGAUGGGAAGGAAGAGAUCCUGAAGUAAUGAUAGUGCGCUGGAAUCGUCUAUGGGAUAUUCAGAUUCCAUUAUUGAUAGGACGCGAAUUGAUAAGGUGAACCGCUAUGUAAAAUACCGGGUUCGGCUGUCUUUCGAGUUUUGGUUUCGGAAGCUGGUGGUGUUGCUAGUAGUAGCAGUAUUUGGCUCAGGGAGUAUGCAAGGGAGAUGAGUUCUUUGUGGAGCUUAUGAGGUGAAGGUUGAGGACUUGAGGAUAACCUUCCCUCAAUUUUGUGUACAUUUAUACUGAACUCGUAUUGCAUUUAUGAAAGUUAAAUGGGAGUUGAAACCAUUAUUGAAGCUGUUGAAGUUGAAACCAUUAUUGCAGAACGGCCGUGCAGUUGACUCCCAUCCUAUUAUGUAUUGUCCUGUGAUCUUCACUGAUGAUACGAAUCUGCCAAUUUUUGUUUUUGAGUGGAAUAGUUAAUGGUGUCAAUAAGUCUAAAGAAAGUUCAGUUAUGGAGGAUGAUGAUAUGGUGUCGAGGGAAGUGAAAUUUCGUGUUUAUCUCCUUCAUAAACAUAGCAAUGUUUAACAAGUGGCAAUUUCGCAUUUAACUCUAACAGAUAUAUAGUUUAUUUAUUAACUAACAGUUUUGUAUUUAAUUGUAAUAAAUAGGAAAUUUCGACUUUUGCUACCACAAAAAACCUUGAGUUUCAUUUUUGCUACCCCUUAAAUAUUUUUAUUUUAUUUUACUACCACCUAAAAACACCUUUGUCAAAAUUUGCUACCACUUAACGGAAUCCAUUAAGUUUAUUCAAGAUUCCGUUAAGUUUAUUCAAAAAAAAAA